AGAGUUUGAUCCUGGCUCAGGAUGAACGCUGGCGGCGUGCUUAACACAUGCAAGUCGAACGAAACACCUUAUUUGAUUUUCUUCGGAACUGAAGAUUUGGUGAUUGAGUGGCGGACGGGUGAGUAACGCGUGGGUAACCUGCCCUGUACAGGGGGAUAACAGUCAGAAAUGACUGCUAAUACCGCAUAAGACCACAGCACCGCAUGGUGCAGGGGUAAAAACUCCGGUGGUACAGGAUGGACCCGCGUCUGAUUAGCUGGUUGGUGAGGUAACGGCUCACCAAGGCGACGAUCAGUAGCCGGCUUGAGAGAGUGAACGGCCACAUUGGGACUGAGACACGGCCCAAACUCCUACGGGAGGCAGCAGUGGGGAAUAUUGCACAAUGGGGGAAACCCUGAUGCAGCGACGCCGCGUGAGUGAAGAAGUAUUUCGGUAUGUAAAGCUCUAUCAGCAGGGAAGAAAAUGACGGUACCUGACUAAGAAGCCCCGGCUAACUACGUGCCAGCAGCCGCGGU
rnacentral:rRNA from 1 species